GCCAGCGUGGCUCAGUGGUUUGAGUGUUGGACUAAGACUCUGGAGACCAGGGUUUGAUUCCCUGCUCAGCCA